CUCGUAGGCGGCCAACUAAGUCAGACGUGAAAUCCCUCGGCUUAACCGGGGAACUGCGUCUGAUACUGGAUGGCUUGAGUUUGGGAGAGGGAUGCGGAAUUCCAGGUGUAGCGGUGAAAUGCGUAGAUAUCUGGAGGAACACCGGUGGCGAAGGCGGCAUCCUGGACCAACACUGACGCUGAUGAGCGAAAGCCAGGGGAGCAAACG
rnacentral:rRNA from 1 species